rfam:Talaromyces stipitatus ATCC 10500 scf_1105507295523 genomic scaffold, whole genome shotgun sequence.
GGCAGGAUGGCCGAGUGGUCUAAGGCGCUGUCCUCGAAUGCCCUAUCCCCUUUUUCAUCGCGGUUACCCUGGUUUAUGGUGUUUGGGAAGAUGUUAGACAGUAUCUUCGGAUACCUGGGUUCAAAUCCCAGUCCUGUCG